UGGUCUCCUGGGGACAAGAGGUUGUUCUCGCCUGCAAGGGAGGCAGGCUUGAAGAGGAAAGCCAUGAUGAGUCCUGAGGAGUUCCCUGGAAAGAAGAAGAGGGAAGACAAGGGAGACACUCCCAGGAAGAAAAAGGAAUGAGACAAAAUGAUUUCAGCUUUCAGCAAACAAAGGCUUCAAUAAACUGAAAGCAUCAGAAGAUUAAUUCCAAACUGAGAGGAAAAAUGCACUGCUGUGACCACUGCCGGCUAUGACUGAUGCACAACGUGCACCAAGUUUGACCCAAAUGAGACAAUGACCCAAAAGAGACCCAGAACUGAGACGGACAACCUAGACCUGCCUGACGUGGAUAACCCUGCCAGAAACCAGGAUCCUUUGUUUGCCAGCACAGGAAAGUGGAGGAAGACCACAAGGAGGAAUCCCAGGGCAUCA